rnacentral:lncRNA from 1 species
GCCAUUCUCUCUCUUGCUCUGCGCUCUGGCGCUCUGACGCUCUGGCUCCUAAAGAUGUAAGCGGGGGGGGGGGGGGGGGGCUUUCGUUUUUGGGGCUUGGGGCUUGCGCUCCUGGCUCCUGAAGAUGUAAGCAAUAAAGUUUUGCCACAGAAGAUU